rnacentral:rRNA from 1 species
AUUAGAGUUUGAUCAUGGCUCAGAUUGAACGCUGGCGGCAGGCCUAACACAUGCAAGUCGAGCGGUAGCACAGAGAGCUUGCUCUCGGGUGACGAGCGGCGGACGGGUGAGUAAUGUCUGGGAAGCUGCCUGAUGGAGGGGGAUAACUACUGGAAACGGUAGCUAAUACCGCAUAACGUCGCAAGACCAAAGUGGGGGACCUUCGGGCCUCAUGCCAUCAGAUGUGCCCAGAUGGGAUUAGCUGGUAGGUGGGGUAACGGCUCACCUAGGCGACGAUCCCUAGCUGGUCUGAGAGGAUGACCAGCCACACUGGAACUGAGACACGGUCCAGACUCCUACGGGAGGCAGCAGUGGGGAAUAUUGCACAAUGGGCGCAAGCCUGAUGCAGCCAUGCCGCGUGUGUGAAGAAGGCCUUCGGGUUGUAAAGCACUUUCAGCGGGGAGGAAGGCGAUAAGGUUAAUAACCUUGUCGAUUGACGUUACCCGCAGAAGAAGCACCGGCUAACUCCGUGCCAGCAGCCGCGGUAAUACGGAGGGUGCAAGCGUUAAUCGGAAUUACUGGGCGUAAAGCGCACGCAGGCGGUCUGUCAAGUCGGAUGUGAAAUCCCCGGGCUCAACCUGGGAACUGCAUUCGAAACUGGCAGGCUAGAGUCUUGUAGAGGGGGGUAGAAUUCCAGGUGUAGCGGUGAAAUGCGUAGAGAUCUGGAGGAAUACCGGUGGCGAAGGCGGCCCCCUGGACAAAGACUGACGCUCAGGUGCGAAAGCAUGGGUAGCGAACAGGAUUAGAUACCCUGGUAGUCCAUGCCGUAAACGUUGGGCACUAGGUGUGGGGGACAUUCCACGUUCUCCGCGCCGUAGCUAACGCAUUAAGUGCCCCGCCUGGGGAGUACGGCCGCAAGGCUAAAACUCAAAGGAAUUGACGGGGGCCCGCACAAGCGGCGGAGCAUGCGGAUUAAUUCGAUGCAACGCGAAGAACCUUACCAAGGCUUGACAUGCACCGGACGGCCGCAGAAAUGUGGCUUUCUUCGGACUGGUGCACAGGUGGUGCAUGGUUGUCGUCAGCUCGUGUCGUGAGAUGUUGGGUUAAGUCCCGCAACGAGCGCAACCCUCGUUCCAUGUUGCCAGCGCGUAAUGGCGGGGACUCAUGGGAGACUGCCGGGGUCAACUCGGAGGAAGGUGGGGACGACGUCAAAUCAUCAUGCCCCUUAUGUCUUGGGCUUCACGCAUGCUACAAUGGCCGGUACAAUGGGUUGCGAAACUGUGAGGUGGAGCGAAUCCCAAAAAGCCGGUCUCAGUUCGGAUUGGGGUCUGCAACUCGACCCCAUGAAGUCGGAGUCGCUAGUAAUCGCAGAUCAGCAACGCUGCGGUGAAUACGUUCCCGGGCCUUGUACACACCGCCCGUCAAGUCACGAAAGUCGGUAACACCCGAAGCCAGUGGCCCAUCCUCGUGAGGGAGCUGUCGAAGGUGGGAUCGGUGAUUGGGACUAAGUCGUAACAAGGUAACCAAU